CCCCAAUAAAGGAGUGGUUCUGCAGGUGGUGACCACAGACCACUUCUCAGUUCCUAUGCUUACUGGCUGAUGUUUUGGUCACUUUUGAAUGCUGGCGGUGCUUUCACUUUAGUGGUAGCAUGAGACGGAGUCUACAACCCACACAAGUGGCUCAGGUAGUGCAGCUCAUCCAGGAUGGCACAUCAAUGCGAGCUGUGGCAAGAAG